GCCGACAAAAGUUUUAAACAUUUCCCUAAUUUGUUUUCUGUUGUAAUUGCAAUGAAACAAUAAUGGAAACUCAUUUGAAUCCUUCGCAGUUGCAGUGCUCAUUAGUUUUGCUCACUUUUCGGAACAGGAUAACAGAAUUGAGGACCUGGACUAUGCACAGUUAAGGAGUCCAUAUAUCCUUCGCAGUUGCAGUGCUCAUUAGUUUUGCUCACUUUUCGGAACAGGAUAACAGAAUUGAGGACCUGGACUUUGCACAGUUAAGGAGUCCAUAUACUUGUAGAAAUCAUCUUAUGUAUAACCGAAUUAAACCUAGUGAUGGAGCGGCCAGUUGUUUUUCAUCCUGCGGCAAAAGCAAAAAAGAGCUUUCAAAAUUAUUUAAAAUUUGUUUAGUUGAUGAAAAAAAUUGUUGUUUAACGUAAUGUGAACGCUUUUUCAAAGUUGA